AGAAUGACUUCAACUACAGCUCUCCUUACUGGACAAACAAGGAAACCUACGUAGUUGAAGAUGGACUUGAAGGUUUGAAUGAAAAGCAGACAAAACUUGCUUCUUACUGGAACACACCGUUUAACAAAAUAUGCCUCGGAAUGAAAGUCAAUGGUGCUACAAAAUGGAUAGCGUCAAACUACACCGCCAACUCGCUACACAGUGUGAUCGAAGACGGGACUUCUAAAGAAACGACCUUUGGAAAGGAAGCAUGGAUGUCUGUUAUCGAUGGUUCGUUAUUGCAAAAAAACUGUAAUCAAGA